CACCGCGGUUAUACGAGAGGCCCAAGUUGAUGAAAACGGCGUAAAGAGUGGUUAAGAAAAUAAAUAAAAUAAGGCCGAAUAGUCUCAUUGCAGUUAUACGUUUACGAGACCACUAAGCACAUUCACGAAAGUAGCCUUAGCAUAAUUCUGACUCCACGAGAGCCAUAAGA
rnacentral:rRNA from 1 species